rnacentral:lncRNA from 13 species
AACUGCGAUGGCAAAUCAUACUAUUUUAGUAGACAAUAAUACAUGGAAAAAUACGCACAUAUCAAGAGUUUGCCAAGCAAUGGCGACUUUUCCAAGGAAAAGUUUUACGAAACUAUGAGAGAAUUGGAUGUCAACUAUGGUAAUUGAAGGUCAGCCUGUCUUCCCUGAGUAGAAAGUAGCACCAUGUGUCCUUGUUUCUGCCAGAUUUUCAAAAGUGAUAACCAAGUGGUUCUCUAAAGUUUCUUUGGACAAAUUGAUAUUUUCAUCAGAAUCCUUAAAUAGGAAAAAAUAACAUUUAUAAAUCUUAUAAAUUAAAUGCUAUGUAAGUUUAUGAGCUUACUUGUUCUCUAAUAUAUAAAAAUAAGUCUG